ensembl:lncRNA
AAAUAAAAUAUUUCCGGUUAUGUUGAUUAAAGUGCUUAUCAGGCUGUCUGAUGGGCAUGGUGGCUCACGCCUGUAAGCCCAGCAUUUUGAGAGGCCAAGGAGUUUGAGAGGCCACUUGAGGUCAGGAAUUUGAGACCAGCCUGGCCAACAUGGUGAAACUCAUCUCUACCAAAAAAUAAAAAAAUUAGCCAGACCUGGUGGUGCAUGCCUGUAGUCCAAACUACUCGGGAGGCUGAGGCAGGAGAAUCACUCGAACUUGAGAGGCGGAGGUUGCAGUGAGCCAAAAUCUCACCCUUGCACUCCAGCCUGGGCCACAGAGCAAGACCCUGUUAAAAAAAUAAAAAUAAAAAUAAAUACAUAAAAGAGUACUUAUCAGGCUGUCUGGCACAUAGAAAGGUGCAAAAAAUGGUAGUUUUAUGAAAAAUAUUAGGGGUGACACAAGGACUAAAGUGAACUCCCGCCCGUGAAAACCAUUUCAACUGGUGGUGGAGUUGUGGAUGAACAGUUUAUCCUUUUUAUUUAGAAUCCUAAUGUGGUUUUGCAAUGACAUUGCUAAAUACUUGUUGUGAGUAAGGAUUAUAUUUGCUGACGGGUUAACCACUCCCAGCAAGUGUGAUCCCUUGGGUUUGUCACAAGGAGCACCUGGGUGGGGCUGGGGAGCAUUGAGUGUGUGGAAAAGGGGGUGGUGGAGACAGGGGGUCUGGAGCCUGUGUGAGGAGAAAGGAGCCACUGAGCCUGGAGGGAGGGGAGACAGGUGGAUGUAGACAGAGAGAGAAAGCCCCCUCCACAAGGCAGCCUGGACCAAAGCAAAGAGGUCUGUUUUCAUUUCAUUCAUUUAUUAUUUUGUUUAUUUGCGAUGCUGGUUUCUCAGUUAUCUUUCUUUCCCGAACAGUUCUCUCUGGGCAGCCCUGGCCAGACUGCAACAUGAGAAUCGAUCUGACUUCAGCCUCUGUCUGUAAACUUCUCAUGCUACAGCCUGGGGUGGGGUCGUGCGAACCUAGUCCUCUGGAGGCAGAAACUAAAAGAGGUAGCAUUACUGGAGCCCAGAACCCUGAGCCCAGGGCCCAGUCAACCAGUGGAAGCUGGAACUGUGCAAGCCUGACCUGCAGGAUUUGAAGCCAUGGGAGAAUUGCAGGUGCUGUUGGAGAAGCAGUAGCUUCCUCUACAAAAUAGAAGAAAAAUAUCUUGGCUUCUUUUAUUUCUCCUUCUCUCUAAUCUCUUAUUCACACAGAAGAUGGAAAAUAUAGGCCAGGCAUGGUGGCUCACACCUGUAAACUCAGCACUUUGGGAGGCUGAGGUGGGAGGAUCACCUGAGGUCAGGGGUUCGAGACCAGCCUUGCCAACAUGGUGAAACCCUGUCUCUACUAAAAAUACAAAAAUUAUCUGGGUAUGGUGGUGCACACCUAUAAUCCCAGCUACUCGGGAGACUGAGGCAUGAGAAUUGCUUGAACCUGGGAGGCAGAGGUUGCAGUGAGCUGAGCUGAGAUUGCACCACUGCACUCCAGCCUCCAGCCUGGGUGACAAAGCGAGAAUCUGUCUAACACACACAAAAAGAAGAUGGAAAAUAUAACUUUCAGGUAUCAGCCUGGCUGUGAUAUGGAGCAGAGGAGGAGGAGAGGAAUAGAUCUGAGAAAAGGAAAAGUAUCUUUUUCAUAGUUGAGAAAUAUGUAAAGACAGUCAGAUUCUAGUAUCCCUGGAAGGCAAUCACACAGUCAAACCCAAGAAGAGAGGAGAAUAAGGGUAAAAUUUUGCUAACUUUAUUGGCAAAAUCUAAAGAACACAUAGGGAAUAGGCUCUGAGGGUGCCAGAACAAGGAGGGAGUAGUAUAAUUUUAGAUUGGACCAAACAUAUUGAUAUGGAUAUAUUUACUAGAGAUCCUUAUUUCAAAAGGCGAGUUUGAGUAACCAGAAGGGUUCUAAUGGUUUGCUUGGUUGGUGGAUUGAAUCUUGAACUAACCAGUGUUCCACUAAACAAAGUUAAGAUGCCAUAAAUUCCUGAACUUCCUUGGUAUAAUGUAGAAGGUAGGAGGUUGAAAUAUUAAAUACAUUUCCAUGUGCAAUGUCUUCCCCACUCCCUAACCAUAUUCCCAGAACAGGCCCAGAAGACAACUGAUUGUGAAGUUACUGAGAAAUACAUUAGUGAGGAAAGCACUGUGAUCUCUGAAAAAUACUGUCACGGCUGUUCUCUGUAAGGCUGGGGAUCGUAAUAGAAAGCUGAAAGCUGCAGUUGAGAUGGGCUCUCUGAUUUCAGAAGGAAUUAAAGGACCCUAUGGUGGCAGACUCCAAGUAGUAGCACUCAGCCACUGGCAGCAAGAUGGACAUAAUUACCAACCAGGCAUAGAAAAGGAGUUCAGAUGCUGAAUGAAUAACAAAUGCCCUCUGCUGUCUAUCCCUCUGUCUGUCCACGGACAUAUUGCUUUCUUCUAAUACUUACACUUCAGUGUAAAGCUUCUACCAACUAUAAUGCCAGCAACCAUCUUUUGAAAAACUGAUAAACAUUCACCCAUCCCAGAGGAGUCAACCUAAAUCUCAUCAGUAACUAUAUCCAGCUGUGAGUCUACAAUCUCUGGAUGACAGUCAUUUCUUUGGUAAUUCUACUUUCCUGUCUCAAAAUUAUAUAAUAUGUGCAGUAAAUUAUAAAAUUAACCACCAGCAACACUUUAUUAAAGAAUAAUGAGGAAAAGGAAAGAAGAGAAAAACUGGGCUAAAAUAGUUUAGUGCAUUGAUUGAAUCUGCGACUCAGUUGUAAAACAAACCGUUAUUUUAUGUACCAUUAUGGAAGUGAUCCAAUUAAAUAACGACA